UUGGACGGCCAUAGAGGGGUGGUUCACCCGUUCUCAUUCCGAACACGGAAGUUAAGCACUCCAUCGUACUCUACUGUACUGUGAUACGCGAGUUCACGGGAACUUUGGUACGCUGUCCACC
rnacentral:rRNA from 1 species